CGUUCUGGUCAUAUCACGUUGAGAGCACCGGUUCUCGUCUGAUCACCGAAGUCAAGCAACGUCGAGCCUAGUUAGAACUUAGGUGGGUGACCGCUUGGGAAGCCUAGGUGCUGUAAGCGC
rnacentral:rRNA from 1 species